rnacentral:lncRNA from 1 species
AAACACAAUGGCAUUAUCAAUAAUAAUAUACAUGCACUAUACCAGUCAUGUAUUUAGCAAUUUACAUUGCAUACACAUAUUCACAUUGUUAGAUUGUAUUCACAAUACAAAAGGACCCAUGACUUCUAGCGGAGACAUUUACAAUAAAAGGGAUUACUAUCGAAUGCCAGACACAUACCCAGGAGAUGCACAUGGGGACUCCUCGAUCUAGGAUCCAACAGUCACCUGAUCUAAAAACAUGAAUUUUUAUAAAACGUGAGUACAAUACUCAGUGAGUGAACAAGAAGGGAACAAGCAUACCAUAAGAAAUGUAUAUCGAAAUCAUGAUGCAUUCAUUUUCUCAAAACCAUGCAAUUGUUUUAGCUCCUUUAAACCCCUCAUGUAAACCCCACAUGAGUAAAUCACUUAAAAAAAAUCCAUGCUCAACUAAGGUACCAAAGAAAUGGGAAAUAUGGCAAAAACCCACAAGUUAGCAAAAUGGAUAGAAAGUUUCUCGCUGUAGAGAGAACCAAUUCUGGUGAAGGCCCUCAAACCCGAGAGUUUCUCGCUGUAGCGAGAAUGAAUUUCGUUGCAGCGAAACAGAGCAACAAGAGAAACAUUUUUCCUCCACUCAAGAAAAGGGCCAUCCUACAAAACCAACAAAAUCAAUAUAAAACUCAUGAAAAUUCCCAAAGUGCAAUGUAUCAAAUUUCAAAUAUAUGUCAACCAUAUAUCACAUUCAUGAGCUUUCAUUUCAUAAGUCUAGAUAUGCAUAAUUUGAUAGACAAACAUCAAUAUCAUCAUAAUCACACCCGGCUGAUGCACAUCCCCCCACAUCGUGCACAUACCCGACACCAUCGUGUGCAUCCCCCCACAUUGUGCACAAUCAGUGCCAUCGUGUACAUCCCCCCACAUCGUGCACACGGGCACUAUCAUCAUCCAUCUCUCACGCCACCAUCAUCACCGGCAUGUGCAUCCCCCCACAUCGUGCACACACACGGUUACAGUCAUUAUACACAAUAUCAUUCAUCAUGCACAACACACAUAUAUAUAUAUAAUCAUAUUGCAAUAAUGCAUGAAUCCAUAGCAAUCACAUAUCACAACAUCAAACCAUUUAACAAAAGCUUGUUCCCAAGGUACAUUUUCUAAGACAAGUUGGAUAGAAUCUUUCAUAUUCCCCAAAACAAGUUUGAAAUGCAAGUCCACUCACCGAUAUCGAAAAUCCAGAUUUCGAGUGCACUCGGACUAAUAGUCCUCAGGCGCAAUUCCUUUGCCUUUUUCGGACGUCUCACUACCUUGACAAAUAACAAAGUCAAGGAAUUUACUAUAUUGUCCCUAAAUUGAUAUAAACUAAUUUAAAUUACUAAUGCUUGAUAUGUAAAUGCAAAAAUACGUCCGAUUAACGCUUAAUCGCGGUAUCGAUUAAAUUUGACUGAUCACCGAGUAAUUGGCGAUUGCGUCCAAAUCACCUCCAAAUUAAUCCAUUUCUCCUCUAAUACCUUAAUUUACCACAUACCAUUUAAAUCAAGCCGAAUUUAGCAUUAGAACCCUCACAGUUCUUUAUAGAAAAAUUCGGUCAUUUGGUGCACUAGCACCGAAAAUUUUUUUACAUAACCAUUUCACAUUAAUUCAUCAUUUUCCAAGCCAUUUUCCAAGAAAUAAAAACAAUCUCCCAUUGAUAUUCAGCCCUCAUGGUUCGACCAACAAGGAACCUUAGAGAAAUUGAAUAUUUCUUUUGUGUUUUUGUUCAUAACCAUGCUUAACUGUCCCUAAACACUAACAUAGUCUAAAAUCAAAUUAUUCCAACAACAAUUCGUCUUCCAUACCCAUUUUUCAGAAUUGAAUUCAUCAUGAUAACUCAAUAUUCAACCAUGGAAAUCAAGAACAAAAGCAUGGGGUAAGCUAGGUAUCAAGGAGAAUUAAAGAAAUUCUAACUUACCUAGCUUGUUUCCUUGAUUUCUUCACUUUUUCUUUGAAUUUCCACCUAGGUUUUCUUGUUUUUCCUUUUGUUCUUCCUUUGUUCUUGUUUCUGGUUGCCUAGGCCAAAUAUGGUGAGAGAAUUGGGGAUUUAAUGGGCUGAUUUCUAUAGAAAAUAAUAAAAUAAUCAAGCAUGCCACGUGUCACAUGGUUAUUGGCCCAAUUUUUUAAACUUUUUGACUUUUUCUUCUUAAUUUUCCACCACAAAUAUUCUGGUAUUUAACCAAUCCUACCACAAUUAAAAUCCCUUGGUCUUGACAAGUGCUGGGGUGAAAAAUUUACCGAUUUGCCCCUGAGAUAGAAAAAUUAUGAUUUUACCCCUAUACUCCGAAAUGUACCGGAAUCACAUUAUUUCUAAUUUUCAACCUCAAAUAACACUAAUAUUAAUCAAUAUUAACCAAAUGGGGUAAAAAUCGUUUUAUAAAAAUUCCCAUUUAGUCCUCUAGUGGUAAAAUUACCAUUUUACCCUUAUGCUCCAAAAAUACCGAGAAUCAUAAUUUUUCACUGCUAAACAUCAUUUUAUACUCCAAUAAUCAUAAUUAUAUAUCUUAUAAUUAUUCUUGGUCAAAUGUGAUCAAAUCUUGACUAAAAAUCUCCAUUUUAUCAUCAAAUGGUAAGGUGACCGUUUUGUCCCUAAUCAGUCAAUUUUCCUGAUUGACUCCAAAUUGGACCUUGAACUCCGAAUCACUAUUCUAAGCCAUUAUGUGGAUUUUAGAAUUUUCAAAUUCCUCUUAGAAUUUCUAUUUGAACUAGUUCAAGACUCAAUUUAACUUAGUUGUACCACUCGGUACAAUACCGUCUUUUAAUCGAGCUUGACAAGGUCUCACAAAUGAACUUUGUGGAAUGUAUUAUUAUGCAAAGAUUCUUGUCAUAUGUUGUUAUGUGUGUUAUGUUUUAAAAGAUAAUAUUGAAUGAUAAUUAUAAUUGUGCAUGUGUGGUGUGGGAGUGUACAUGACGGUGAGGGUGGUGUGCGGUGUGGAAGUGCACACGAUGAUGAUGAUGUUUACCAUGUGGGUAUGGGAGUGCACAUGAUGACAUUUGCCAUGUGGGGUGUGGGACUACACAUGAUGGUAUUAGCUAUGUGCAGUGUGGGAGAGCACAUGAGCUGAGUUGAGGAUGAUGGUCGUGUGCAUUGAGCCAUGUUGACCAGUUUGGGAAUGACCUUGAUGUCACGACCGGUACUCCCCUCGAGCUCGUGACAACCACCGCAGUGUCUCGGUAGACACUCAUUAUUCGAAAUGUUAACCCGAAACCUCGCAAGGCUUUAAUAUCAGUUUCUUAUUUCCCUUGUGAGCAACCAUUGUCAAAAAUCAUGUUCUAAAAGAUUUUAAGCUGUUUCCAACUUAAAACAAAUAAAAUAUUAAUUUUCGUCUCAUAGGGGUAUUUUGGUCAUUUUUCAAAAAAUUUCGAAACCAGCCAAUAAUGUAAUAUAUAAGUGCAGAACACAUAUUUCAAAAUCAAAAAUAAAUUUAGAUGUCUAAAACAUUCGUUUAAAACGAAAUUAUGAUUAUUUGGAUAUAAUAAGAAAAUAAAAUAAAUAUUUAGUAAAAUAUUCUAUUUUUUUAUUAAACAAUAUGUUCAGAGUUAUACGUAGAUAAUUUUUGUAGCGUAAAAGCAAAGUAAAUUCAUACAUACUGUAAUACCAUAAACCAGAGUAUUUAAUUUAAUUUACAAUUACCAGUGGGCUCCCGAAUAACCAAAAGUAAAGAAGACUGUGAACCUACAGUUUGAAGGAAUGCAAAUCUAAGAGUAGUGCUCGAUGAACUCAGCUAUCUACAACCUAAUCUGAACUUGAAAUGGGUGGAAAUGAGAGUGGUGAGAUUUUAUAAUCCUAGUGAGUAAACAAACAUCAUUCAAAAGAUCUAAAGUCGAGUAAAAGGAGACAAUUAAAAUAUUUCAUCUCAAUAUUUAUUUCAUAACAUAAAUAUUCAUUUCAUUUAAAUAUUCAACACGGCUUAUGAGUAUCUUAAAAACUUGGCUCCUGCCAAAAUCAUUCUCAGGGAUACCUUGGCUGAGGUAUCUAACCGAGUCCGCUAAGGCUGUUAAAAAAGUUCGUAUACACGUAAACAUAUUUUUAGUUUGAAAAACACAGCCAUUCCUUGGUGUUAGCGGAGUUCAUCAUCACGAGGUGGUUCGGCGUAACGUGAACUUUGUCCAUAUCUCAGGAGAUACCCUACGCGCCUCUCCGAUCGAGGUACAUAUAUAUAUAUAUAUAUAUAUAUAUAUCUGGAUUCCGUGCCCUUCUAAUAGGCUGGUCUACAGAAUCUGCCUACUGCAGCAAGCUAAACCCACCAUACAAUAAAAUUUUGACAACAUGACAGGGCUAAUAUUUUACUACCCAGCCUGCAAGGGUAAAANNNNNNNNNNNNNNNNNNNNNNNNNNNNNNNNNNNNNNNNNNNNNNNNNNNNNNNNNNNNNNNNNNNNNNNNNNNNNNNNNNNNNNNNNNNNNNNNNNNNNNNNNNNNNNNNNNNNNNNNNNNNNNNNNNNNNNNNNNNNNNNNNNNNNNNNNNNNNNNNNNNNNNNNNNNNNNNNNNNNNNNNNNNNNNNNNNNNNNNNNNNNNNNNNNNNNNNNNNNNNNNNNNNNNNNNNNNNNNNNNNNNNNNNNNNNNNNNNNNNNNNNNNNNNNNNNNNNNNNNNNNNNNNNNNNNNNNNNNNNNNNNNNNNNNNNNNNNNNNNNNNNNNNNNNNNNNNNNNNNNNNNNNNNNNNNNNNNNNNNNNNNNNNNNNNNNNNNNNNNNNNNNNNNNNNNNNNNNNNNNNNNNNNNNNNNNNNNNNNNNNNNNNNNNNNNNNNNNNNNNNNNNNNNNNNNNNNNNNNNNNNNNNNNNNNNNNNNNNNNNNNNNNNNNNNNNNNNNNNNNNNNNNNNNNNNNNNNNNNNNNNNNNNNNNNNNNNNNNNNNNNNNNNNNNNNNNNNNNNNNNNNNNNNNNNNNNNNNNNNNNNNNNNNNNNNNNNNNNNNNNNNNNNNNNNNNNNNNNNNNNNNNNNNNNNNNNNNNNNNNNNNNNNNNNNNNNNNNNNNNNNNNNNNNNNNNNNNNNNNNNNNNNNNNNNNNNNNNNNNNNNNNNNNNNNNNNNNNNNNNNNNNNNNNNNNNNNNNNNNNNNNNNNNNNNNNNNNNNNNNNNNNNNNNNNNNNNNNNNNNNNNNNNNNNNNNNNNNNNNNNNNNNNNNNNNNNNNNNNNNNNNNNNNNNNNNNNNNNNNNNNNNNNNNNNNNNNNNNNNNNNNNNNNNNNNNNNNNNNNNNNNNNNNNNNNNNNNNNNNNNNNNNNNNNNNNNNNNNNNNNNNNNNNNNNNNNNNNNNNNNNNNNNNNNNNNNNNNNNNNNNNNNNNNNNNNNNNNNNNNNNNNNNNNNNNNNNNNNNNNNNNNNNNNNNNNNNNNNNNNNNNNNNNNNNNNNNNNNNNNNNNNNNNNNNNNNNNNNNNNNNNNNNNNNNNNNNNNNNNNNNNNNNNNNNNNNNNNNNNNNNNNNNNNNNNNNNNNNNNNNNNNNNNNNNNNNNNNNNNNNNNNNNNNNNNNNNNNNNNNNNNNNNNNNNNNNNNNNNNNNNNNNNNNNNNNNNNNNNNNNNNNNNNNNNNNNNNNNNNNNNNNNNNNNNNNNNNNNNNNNNNNNNNNNNNNNNNNNNNNNNNNNNNNNNNNNNNNNNNNNNNNNNNNNNNNNNNNNNNNNNNNNNNNNNNNNNNNNNNNNNNNNNNNNNNNNNNNNNNNNNNNNNNNNNNNNNNNNNNNNNNNNNNNNNNNNNNNNNNNNNNNNNNNNNNNNNNNNNNNNNNNNNNNNNNNNNNNNNNNNNNNNNNNNNNNNNNNNNNNNNNNNNNNNNNNNNNNNNNNNNNNNNNNNNNNNNNNNNNNNNNNNNNNNNNNNNNNNNNNNNNNNNNNNNNNNNNNNNNNNNNNNNNNUUCAACUUAGUUAUACUAUUAAGUACACUAUCGGCUUUUAAUGAUUUUCGGGGCUUUCCUAGCAUGCAAACAUGCUAUCCAUCACAUGCAUGUCGUGACAAGUAUUUUAUAAGGUCAGGCUUUACACUUGAUGUGUUGGAUGUAUGUUUGAAAUGUCUAUAUAUAUAUAUAUAUAUAUAUAUAUAUAAUAUGUACAUAAAUUCUUAUACGCAUGUGUGCCUUUCUUGUAGAUUAAAGAUGAUUGUAAAAUGAAAUGUGAUUGCAUUGAAGGUUGAAAGUUCAAUUUCCUAAACGUUUUAAAAUGAAUUAAAAGUCAACAUGGCAUCGAGUUUGUUUAUGAUAUACAAAUUGCAUUGUUUUAAUACAAGUGCAUCGUGUUUCCUAAAAAUCUUCAAUAUCGUCUGUUUGUUCCCUUCCUAUGUUCACUCACUGGGUUUAUACUCAUUCUUUUCAACUUCAUGUUUUAGUUUUCAGAUAUGAAGGUAGUUGGAUUCCUAGAUCGAGGGGCUUCCUCGUAUUCAUCCUUCGGUAGGUUUACCAUGUCACUCAAUGAUAGUACCUACGUCCAAAGUCACUACGCUAGUAGUCAAGGGUUUGUUGCAUGUUUAUGUGUGAUGGUUUAAUGUAAAUUGUGAGAUUUGUCGUGAACUUUGUAUGAUGGGUUUGAUUAACAAUGUCAUUUAGGGUCGACAAUGAUAACUCUAUUUUGAGAAUGAUAUAUACUUGGUUUUCAUGAUUUAAUUUUGAAAGAGUUACUAUUGGAAAUUAUGAGGUUUAGAUCUUAAAGAAAGAAGUGAUAGGUGGACUAUUGAACAAGUUUACAUAGAGAGGCUUGCUUGGGUCUAGUGGGUUAUGCCUAUUGAGCCCAUCGCCUGUCAUGAUCCGAGAUUUAGGUUGUGACAGAAAUUAUUGACGGAUUUUAACAAUAUCGAUAGAUUGUGGCUCAUUCUACUAAUAGAAAAGUCAUAUAUAGAGAAUGUGCCAACAAAUUUAAGCACUUACUAAUUAGUCAAAAUAUCGAUAGAUUCACUUUUUAUUGAUUAAAAUUCUUAAUGGAAUGUUUCAUUAGAGAAUUAUCAACGGAUUUCCCGUUCUCAAUGAAAUGGCCUUUGCCAACCAAGGUAUAUCUAAAUGAAUACUAAUGGAAUUUUUCAUCGUUGUUCUAUUAGUAAUUUAACUUAUUGAUGGAUUUUCAACCUUUACCUUUCGUUGGUAAAUGCGACAAUUUUUGUAAUGAUACCUUAAAUAAGUUUGAUCCAAGUACAGAUAGGACAAAGGCUAAGUUAGUAAGCUUAAUCAAGAAAAGUCAACACAGACAAGAGUUGAUCAACUAAGACCUUCUUUAGUAACUAAAUUGAUCCAAAUGAAAAUAAACAAUGUAAAGAUUCAUCUUAGUUUAUUAAAGGGCGCAAGCUCAAGCUAUUGAAUUUCAUGUUGGUAUAUGCCUUUUAGCCAAUUGGAUUAGUUAAGGAAUAUAUAUUGUCAUUUAAUAUAUACUUAAUCGCAUAUCUAUAUAUGAUAAAGGUUUUCCUUCGUGUUAGUGCAAUAAUAAGGAGUUAUUAAGUACUAAAUGAAUGAAGUCCAUAAAACAUAAAGGCCUUGCAAGAGAAUUGUAAAGUUGUUACAAUUAUAAGAUCACAAUGCAUUAAAGCCAUGUUCCUAAAAUUGUUCCUAGUCAUUAUAUUGUCAAGACAAGGCAUUCACAAUGCUCAAAAAUCGGUACAUGUUAAGCCUCCUUACUUGGGAAGUAAGCAAUCAAUCUCAUAGAUUGAAGUAUAUGGGAUACUUGACGAUAACAUGUGGGUGCUUGUUAAAGAACAAGUUCACUAAACAUGACCUGCUAUGAGAACUCCAUUUGAUAUUUCACUCAAAUGUCUAUGAAAUAUGUUAUCAUGUGAUUGUUUUGCAACUAAUCUUAAGACUUGAGACACUAAGUCAUCUUAUAUGAGGAAUGACAUACUUUGAUUUCAUUUCUAUCGGUCUGAAGGUGACCAAAUGCCUAAACAAGGUGUUUUUGGGUAUGCCAUGAAGCAUGCGAAGGUGAAUGAGUGGUCAACAGAUGAUUCAUCACCCCAAUUGAUAUGAGGGGAUGUAUCUCACCUGUUCUCAAUUCUCGAUUAACUUGUAUAAAGUCUUUGGCCAAAGCAUGAUGAAUUUGAGGAAAGUUAGUUUCUCAAAUUCAUAAGGUUAGUUAUGAAUUAUAAGAACUAAUAUGGAAUGUUAUAAGCAGAUAUUGAGCCAUGCUUCCUGAUAUAUCCGGUAUAUUUGAUGAAAGGACCGUAUUGCAUUAAGAGGCUUAUCACUGAAGGGCUUUGUCAAAUUCUUUAAUUGUCUCUCUAACAUUUGGGUGGUCAUGAUGUAUUGCUAGAUGCCGCUCAUGAUCUAUAAUUUUAAAUCAAUUAUCAAAUUGAUAUUUGAUCAGGAUUUAUAUUUAUGGCCAAUAUGUUACAAGCCUAAUGGGUCACACAUAUUAAGUGACAUGAUUGGGAUUAAAUAAGGAUAAUUAAUUAAGUUGGACUUAAUUGAAAAAGACCAAAAUAAAGUGAGAAAUUAAUUAAGCUCACAGAGACUUAAUUAAAUUAAAAUAAAACUGUUGUAUUUAGGAUUACAACUUAGUUUGGCUAUAUAAAUAUGCUAUGUUAGCAAACUAAAACUUUGAGCCUCCAACCACUUCUCAGCCAUUUCAUAAAAUAAGAAAAGAAAAAAUAGUUUCUUUGCCUAACAAAAAUAAGAUUUGACAAGAAUUUAUGGUCUUUUUAUUUUAGAAACAAAACUUACUAGUACAAGUAAAAAAAAUCCUACAUUUGAGAAGGUCUUAUUCGGUUACUGUGUGGAUUACUGUUAGAAGCCAAACACUUUGGUGGCUGAAGAUUUGACAAAUCCUCAAGAUGAAGAAGCAAAGAUUUUGAUUUAAUUGACUCUUGUUUACAAUAUCUAGAGCAAGGUAUGUAACUCUUAAACUUAUGAGUGUUUAUAAUUAAUAUAAAAAUUAUAUGAAAAAUACAAAUAAUGAUCUUAUAGGAUUCGACUGUUUCUCUUAUUAAAUGCUAGUUUUUUAUUCCGUUGCAUUAUAUUUUUAAUUUAUUAAUUAUUUUCAUAUUUGAGUAUGAGGUCGAAUUCUAACAUUUGAACAUGUCCAACGGUAAGAUAAAGAUUUAGAAUUUUCCAAAGGACAACCCUAGUCGACCAAAGGAAUCUUGUCAACCAAUCAACAAGAGGAAUGAAUCUAAGAGACUAAUGAAGAACAUUAAGCAAUGAACCUAUGCACGUCAAACAGCUCUGCAGGUCACGUGUACUUGACAUCUGCUGCAAAGGACAAAUUUAAUUCAAACGAUUCUACUACAAAAGGGAAGAAUUAGAGUGAAAAUUGGUGUGCUGUUAAAAGUUGUAUACGUAUCAAGUUGUAAUCAGAUAGACAUUUCUUCUGCUUGUGCAUUUGAGUUGAGUGUUGGAGGCACUUGAUGAGUUUUUAUACCUAGGAAUUGAGCUUGGAAUAGUUCACCUUGUAAAUGAUUGGUAAAAGUUAUUUGUUUCAGUAGUUUAGUAAAGAUUUUGGUUGAAAAUCCUUGACAAGAACCGUCAGGAUAGUGGAUCUAGUCAUUAAAUAAGAUUUAUGUAUUUUUUAUUGUGGUUCACCAUUAUCAUUUCCAAUUGAGUAUUUCACAAAAGUUAAAAAAAACUCCACUUAAUCUGUCCUAAUUAGAUGUUGUUUGAUAAAGUUGAAAAUUUCAACAUUGAAAAAUUAAGUAAUGAAUUUUUAGUGUUGAAAAAGUUAAUAAAUUUUCAUUGUAAAAUUUAUUUGAUAUUCUACUGAAGAUUAAAUACUAGAUAUAUGUUUUGUUGAUCUUUUGGGAACUGCAUUAGUAAAAGUUGGAAAAUAAAUAGUUAGAUGAAAAAAAAUUUUCUUAAAUAAGAAUGAUUGAAUACAUUAAGUAGUUUUUAACUACAUAAGAUUUUUUUUCAUCACUUUUUCAUUAAUCUUCACAAACUGGUGCCGGUCAACCCCUCCCCUCCCCUUUCUUGUCUCUCCCCAAUUCCUUCUCUCACUCUCUCUCUGUCUCCUCAAGUCCUCAAGUGUUUUUUUUUUUUUUUACUUUUUUCACAUUUUUUGGUAAUUUUUUUUAAUUUUUUGUUCUUCAAAAUUUUAUUUCUUUUAUUCCAAAAAUUAAAAAUUAAUAAAAAAUUAUGUGUUUUUUUUUUAAAUACGUGACACAUGCUUGUUUACUAUAUUUGGCCAUGUCACAAAUUUGACUAACCGAGUUAAUAAGUUAAUUGUGAAUUUUUUUUUAAUAUCAAGUAUUAAAUCAACUGUUUCAUUUUAAUUUGGAUACUAAAUAUGUAACUAAGCCACGGUCACUUUUUUUGAAAUAUUCACUUUAUUAUAAUUAACUUUGUGUCAUUCUUUUUAUCUAAUAAAAUAAAUAAGAAGUAUUUAUUUUGGCAAUGGCAAAAAGUGGUCAUAAGGGCUCCGGAGACAUGAUUAGCCAUUAACAAGAGUGGCCCUCAGUGCCCAUAAUGAGAAAUCUCAUGUAGCAGUUAUGCCCCAAUGAUGAUUGGACGUAGCCUUUGACCGAUCCAGGGAAACAUAUUAAAAGGCAAAAUGAUUAAAAAGAACCCCUAAUUGCUUGCAGAACAAAAAUAUUCUUUGCCUCUAAUCAUAUCGCAUGUAUAUAUUCAUAGCGACACUGCCCCAUCUUAUUUCAGGAUUUGAUCUUUGCUUGUUCCCAUCCAAAGCUGAUGCCACUCAUUGUCAUCUUACACCUCCCUGCUGCUUCAUUUCUUCUUCCUUUUUCCCAUAAUCGUAAUUAAAACACCAAACCCCUUUACUUCAAGUCCAUCCUAAAACACUAAAACUUCCCAUAUGUACGUAUUCAAGCUUGUGUCUAUCGGUGUGUGAAUAUAUACCUGUGUCUAGAGGUGUCCAAUGGGCCGGGCUGGAACAGUUCAUUAACACGUGGGCUCAUAUUUUAACAUGCUUGGCCAGUCCAUCGUGGCCCAUUUUACACUUCUAGGGUCUCAACCCUCAAUCAAAUCCUAGGUAAUAAAAUGGCUAAUGAUGUGGGAAUAAUUAGUAGAAUUUUUCAUGUUGAACAAUAUGGCAAUAUUGUUUUUAUCAAUGGCUUUAUAACAUUCUUGAAUAAAAACUUUACUUUCUCUACUUAUAUAUUAUUAGUUUUUAGGUUGAAAUGUUAAUAUUUCAUUUUUGCGAAAAGUAAAGAAGGAGAAAGAAAAUAGAUAAGAAGGAAGAUUUUAAUAGUAUCAGAAUAUUGUUAAUAUACGUGCACAUUCACUGUUAAAUUUUAAUAUUCAAACUUUCAAGGUAUCAUGUUAGAACUUUUUUUUUUGUAGGUAAAAAAUAUCAUGCCACCAAAAUAGACAUAAAUCAGAAAAAAAAAAGGGGUACAUACAAACUAGGCAAGACACCACAACCAGCAAUUCUAAUAACAAAGUUCUAGGGAUUACAUGAAUCUAUUAAGAUAAGAACUAACAUACUCUCUAAUAGCCUUUUUAGCAACAACACUUCUCAUGUGAAUCUCCAAAAUAAUAACUCUGAUAGUAGCUUGGACAGAGAGACACUUUUGCUCAAUAACAAAUUUGCUUUAUCUCUCCAUAAAUAAGAAAAAGUAGUCAUAAAUGUAGCUCGAAGCACUUCAGGUUUUGCAUGCUUCCUUUUUAUAUUGUAAAACCACUCAAAUUCAACAUUCCAGUAAAUUGGAAUUCUUUGAACCCACAACCAAUUAUACACAGCUUUCCAAACAACUUUAACAUGAUUGCACUUAGAGAAAAGAUGUUGCCUAUUUUCAUCAACUUGUUUACACAACUCACAAUGACCAUCAAGCACAAUAUGAUAUCUAACUAGCCGAUCUUUAGUUGGCUGUCUAUCUUGCACAAUAAUCUAGGCAAUAAAUCUAUGUUCGAGGCUACAAAGUGAGCACCAAACAAGUCUUUUCCAACCAACACUAUAAUGCCUUAAACAAGCCUUAAAGUAAGCCUUCUUUAUGCUGAUCUACCACUUGUUACAUAGUUAUUGAAUUCACCAAUGUAUUUUUGUCCAUAUUUAAAAGUCCCCUCAUGACCCAAGAAAGAUUCUUUCCUUCAAAAAUCAUAGAAAUAGGUAUUCCUUUGAAAAGAUACUCAUGUAACCAUUUAAUCCAAAGUCUCUCCUUAUCAACACUCAAGCACCAAUAGUGCUUAAAAAUAGUAGCAGUAUUCUGUUGGCUCCAUUAGUUUUUGAUGAUAAUAAAACAUUCCCAUUCAUUUAUGUCUAACUAUGCUACUUGAGCAUGCAAGAUGAAAAAUGUAUGCCAAUAAUAAAAUAAUCACUAGAAAGCAAACAUCAAAUCCCAUAAGAAUAAGGAGCUACAUUUGAGCCACAAAACAAAAGCUAGUUAGUCCGAUAAUCAAGGGAGUAAGUCAACUAAAUUCAAAAGUGAAAAUGGCCAGUUCAAAAACAGAACCAACUUAAUUGACUAAGAGAUAUUGUUAGUCGACUAAGUGCUUAUUGCUAAAAGCCGAGUUCAGAAACAAAACCGACUCAAUCGACUAAGAAGAAUUGUUAGUCGACUAAGAGCUUAGUGUCUGAAACUGGGAUUAGAAGAUGAAACCAACUUAAUCGACUAAGAAGUAUGUUUGUCAACUAAGAGCUCUUUGUCUGAAAAUUUGAAUUUGAAGCUAAAAGACAAAUUAACGGCUAGAACCAACUCCAAACUGUUUUCAAUGGUCAGAAUCUAUCAAACACCUAUCAGAGUUGUUUCUUCAAGUAUAAAAACCCUUCCCAAUGGCUAAAAAUAAGGUUUUGUGCUUCCAAAUCAAAAAGAGCUCAAAUAUAGUAAAUAUCCUCUAUAUACUUUCUGCACUUCACUCUUAUCCUUGUAACAAAUUUAAGCACUUCACUUUGUACCACUCAAAUCAGGUUAGUGAUCAUAGGUACACUUUUAUUUCUCUUAUCUUUGUAUACUUAGAGUGAGCGAGUUACUCUAAGGAGUUAAAUCAAGCUUGGGCUGCUUGAUUGGUUGUGUAGGUUCUAACUCAUCCUAGCAAAAGUUAGUUUGGGUAUUGGUUAAUCCCAGAAAAAACUAUUGUUAAGGUUGUGGCUAAGCCUGCUAAAAGCCAUUGUAAAGCUUAAUGGGAACUUAGGAAUUCCACCAUUUUUAGUGAUUUGAUUUGAAAAAUCCUUGGUUGAACAAUCAAGGUAGUGAAUGUAGGUCUUUGACCGAACCACUAUAAAUUGUUGAGUAUUGUCUACUCUGUUUUUAAUUUUCUUUUUCAUUCCUUCUUAAACCAUUCCCUCAUCUUGCAUUGAAUCAGCCAUUAUUGAUCUUAAACUUGCCCUCAAUUUAAAGCCAAUUUUAGUAAGAGCCAAAAAGUGCUAUUCACCCUCCCUUUAAUAUAUUUACUUGGGACCAACAUAUUUCACUUAAAAAUAUCAGAUAUCCCCAAAUCACCCUCAUUAUUCACUUUACACAAAUGAAACCAAGCAAUAAGGGCCUUUUUCCUACCAAAGGAUCAACAUUCCAUAUAAAAAAGAUUUACAAAUAACUUCAAUUUUAGACAGUACCUUCUUAGGAGCAAGAAAAUCUAGCUCCAAAAAUUCUAGAAACUGAAAAUAAUUUAUUUGAUUAAUUGCAAUCUUCCCCCAUAUGAAAGAAAUUUAAAAGUUUUUGACUUAACUUUAGCAACAAUUUUCUUCAUCAAAGGUUGACAUUGUUUGUCAAACCCCACUUUUCAGUUAAGGUUAAAUUUGUAACUUAGCUUGGUGAGUUGUUAAUUUGAUGUUUUGAACCUAAUUUAUGAACAAUUAUAACUUAGAAAAUGCAUGAUUUGAUAGCAAAAUUAGUUUAUUUGAAAAUUGUGACCAAUAAAGGGUCAAAAGGUUUGUUUUGAACCUGAAAACUGCAUUCUAGCCCAAAUGUAUUGAUAUAUGUUGAUCAUGUAUCAAUACAUGAAACCUAGAAAAGGCUUUUAAUGAACAUGUAUUGAUACAUGAAACCCAAAACGAAAAGUAUCAAUACAUAAUUCAAAUGUAUCGAUACAUGCAUUCCAAAUUCAAAAAAAAGAAGAAGGAUAUUUUAGACUUUUCCCCUAAUAAAAUACACCUUAAACUCCCCAAAAACCCUCAACUGGCUUCAUUCAUCUUUAGCUCAAGUUUUCACCUCUCUUUUCCCUUUUUCACUCUCAUUAUCAGGAAUCAUUCCAAGUAUUUAAAAAUCAUUCUCAAGCUUAAUUUUUUAUUUUACACACUUCAAGAGGAAAAGUUUUCUCAUUUCUCACACCUAAACUCUUGGUUUUGAUCUUUAUAAUCUUUGAAUUUCCAAAAAAAAAUCCAUUUUUAAUCUUUAAAUUCUAGAUUUUAUGAUGGAUUAAACCUUCUUAAGCUCACCAAGGUAAAGUUACAAAGCCCUCUAACUAGUUAAGUCUUAGAACCCACUAUUACGUUAGAUUAUAGUUACUAAUUUUAGAUUAAUGGAUGAUUGAAUAAGCUUAUGGAAAGGAUAAAGGUUUGUUAAUGCUAGUUAAGAUGAAAUGAAGGUAUUAAUGGUGAAAAGUAUGUGAUAGGUCUUGUUGAGGAAAUUGUAUCUGAAGAGGUCGAGCUUUCGACAAAAGGUGAUAAGAUGAAAGGCACGCUUCAACGAGGCGGGUAAAUGCAACGUUUUUAAUUAUUUUGAUAUAAUUAAGCAUGCCUUGUCUACAAUCCUGCAUUGAAAUGUAUUUUUUUUAAGCAUUAAUUUCUACAAAGAUUAUGUUGUGAACGAUGGUUUUAAAAGUAUGUUUGAUGAAAGAUAUAUAUGUUAUGUAAAUAUGUCUAUUUUGUAUCUAGUUUUGUGUAUGAAGAACAAGCACUUUGAAUGUUUUGAUACCUUAAAACUUGAAUAUUUAUCUAUAAAUUGAUUAGAUGAAUUACUUUAUAAAUUUUUAUAUGAAAAAUUGGUUUUUGAAAAAACCCUGGCAUUUGAGUCACUUUGUCUUUAAAUGAUAGCGUAGGUUGAUAACAAUAGAAGAAUCUUGUCUUGACCCUAGACUUUGUUGGUGAAUAACUUUACCCUUUUAUUUUCAAAAUGAACUAGGAUAGCUUGGAACUUGGACAGUAGACAUUAUCACUAUGCACUAUGCUUUAUAUCUUUUGGUGGUCAAUGAUUAUAUGUGUCAAACCAUCUUGUUGCUACAACUCUUUGUCUUGCUUGAAAGUUGAUACGAUCCUACCCUUUGUUAUUAGUAGAUGGCAAAAUGUGUAACGACCCAUUCCUCGAUCGCUACCGACAUCCAAGUCUUACGGGAGAACCCACCAAGUCCUGAACAAGCCUUAUUUGAAACUCUUGUUAAUACCUUAUAUUCAUGCCACCAAUCUAUGAAAUUACUUUGAACCAUAUAACUCUUCGCGAUAUGAUUUGUACAAUAGUUUUAAUAAUUCAACUUAACCUUUAUUCCCCAUAAUUUUAAAAAUACAUUAAAGUCUAUAAUCUCUAAUGUACAUUUACAUUAACACUAUUUACAAAUAAUUUAUGCUAUGAACGACACGAUCUCUAACAGAGAAAUGACUCGAAAUAAGUUGCUAUGAGAUGCCUUUACCUAUCCACUGUAGACAAUAAAUGCCGAUAAAUGGACGCUAGGCCGAUCACUACUACAAAAGGGACAUAAGGGGGUGAGUCUCAUAAACUCAAUGAUCAUCGGCUCCAUGAGUAGGGCGUAGAUGGAAAACAAGCUUAGAGCAGAACUUUUGAAUAAUAAAGCCAGAAUAUAAAAUGAUAACCUUAUAAAACCAAAUAAUAAGUAAGGUAUUUGUGCCUUGUAAAAAUAAUGUCGUAAAAUCAUAGUGCAAUACUCUCCUUGGCAAACGAUGCCAAAAACAAAGCGUAGAAAAAUAAAUUUCAAUCAUCGAAAUCAUCUAUUUCCUUUAAAAAUACAAUAGUCAUAUAAAAUCACUCAUGCUCCCAAAAUGUGUGGCAUGUAAAAAUAAUCGUGUACAUCCACAUAUAUCAACUCAUGAUCAACAUAUAAAGCAUUGAAAGCUUUCAAUCAAAUAGGGGAGCUGCGAACAAAUAUUAUCUCUCCACCAUGGAAAAGAGUACAAGUCUAAAAAAACUCUCAAGGCUCUUGAGUAGGUAAUCAUAAAUAAUCAUCCCGUGGACCCUCUUUCACGUAAUAAUAAUCCGGGAGGCCCCUCACCACUGGAUUCCCACAACCAUGGUAAUCUCGACUAUGUUGACCGACAUAAGAGAAAUCAUGUGGUCGCAACCACGUAUAUCAACUCGUGGCCUUGCCACGUAUAACAACCCGUGGCCUUGCCACGUAUAAUCACAGACCAUAGCCUAGCCAACCCUAACAGCCCGUCGGUGACCCAAAGGUUUUCUAUCUAGAGCUCACUUGUGCACAAGGGUCACAUUAUCCCGAUGUGACAUUCGGCCUACUCUCAAUGCUCUCAGUUUCUCAAAAUCGUUUUCAAAACCAAAUCAAGGCUUUCAAGAGUUCUCUUUAAAUCAUUUGAAAACAAGGUUCAGUAACCUUUUCAAAAUUGCUUUUCAAAUUAAAAUUCAUGGUGUAAACAUUUACAUAAAGUUCGGAUUAAAACCAACUCACAAGAAAUCAAACUUAAACCAUUUACCAAGUGCAACCACCUAUGCACAAUUCACAAAGAUUCAAGGCAUGAUUUUGAUGCAAAACAUUGUGAAAGGGCUUGUUUCUCGAUUUCUAAAACACUUUACAUAUAUGUAUAUAUAUAGUCCACACAAACAACUUCCAAAUCACUUUGCAUCCACAAUUGCCUAUGGUUUCUACCAGCUCAUGCUUUCCACAAAAACAGUGUAUAAAUUGUUCCAAACCAAGUAUACAAAUCACAAAUCACUUGUCAAAUCAUGUAUCAUUUUCUAGCAACUCAAUGCUUUCCACAAAGACGUUGAAUAAAUUCUUGACAAGUUACUAUACAUAUAACAUUAUAUAGUAUGGAAUCAUUUGAAAUAGACACCCCCUACUCACCUUAUAAUGGUGGGAUAUUACUUCGCUACUAAUAUUUCCUCAAAUGCUUACUUUAUGCUUGCGGCAAUAAUCCUUGCUUUGUCAACUUCCUAAAAUCAUUUCAAUCCAAUGCAUUUAAUGAGCGUUUCUGCCAUUAUAUUCUACACUUGCUGUUCAUAUUUAAUUCUAUACUUUCAUCUCUUAUUCUUAAGAGAUAACCGUUUGCACUAAAUCCUUAGUAUGAACUUUGAAUUACAUAAACCCGACAUCUUGUUUAUGACUUCAAAUGCCCAUAUCAAUCUUUCUAAUGACAUUUAUCAUGUUCAGGCUAUUAUGUUCAUACUAUUAAUCACAUAUAUGGCAGCAACUAUAAAUCCGAUUUCAUUAAGUAAUUUCUAAGGUUAUAUGCACCAUUAUUCACAUUUAACAUGCUGCCACUAAGCACAAUAUCAAUUUCCAUUCAUGUUACACCAACAUUCUUAACCUUUUAAAUAUUUCAAAACAACAUAUGUCCAUAAUUUCAUUUUCAAGCUUUCAACUACCAUAAUUGUUUCCUAACUGUACUCAAGGCAUCAAAUAAUCACUUCACAUUGCAUGCCUUACCUUUUGUGAUGGCUUGGAUCUUGCAUGUAAUCUCAAUAUUCUUCCAAAACUCCAAUCACCAAGCUGCCAACGUUAUGCAUAAAUUAUUUUCUUAAUGAUUUUACCAACUGUAGGCCUUAAAACACAAUACCAUGCUUACUGUUUCUCUUUCACUUUGAAUCCAUCAUGCGUCUAAGAGUUUGAUGGCUUGCAUGUCACUAAAUCCUCUCUAAUCAAGCUAAUCUUUGCUGCCACAAAGCAUUUCUUAUAGUUACCAACCCAUUUUCAAAGAACAUUCAAGCUAAAACAACAAUCCUUACCAUGUUUCUCUUCUAUCUUGAAACCAAGCUUUACACCACCAUCAACACUCCACGGUUUCUCUCUUGAAUGUUGAAGACUCUUUGGGUGGUAGAAUAUCACAACUUUACAAGAUAAAAGAAGGAAACCUCACGAUUUCUCUUGAAUCCUCAUAACCCGAGUCUUUCCCCUUUCUUCUCUUUUUUGUUGGUCCCAUUAAUAUAUGCUCGAGGGGGGGUGAAUAACACAAUUUGGCUCUUGAUUGGAUGAGGAACUAAUUUCUAAAACAAAGAAAGUAAAAACAAAGUAGACAAUGGACAGCAAUUUAUAGUGGUUCGGUCCAAGACUUACAUCCAUUACCUUGAUUAUCCAACCAAAGAUUUUCCUAACAAAGAAUCCGGUGAAAUUCACAAGCUUCCACCAAGCUUUUACAAUGGCUUUUCGCAGGCUCAGCCACAACCUUUACACUAGUUUUUUUAGGCUAAACUAAAACCCAAAGUGGUUUUCCAAGGCUCAACCACAACCUAUAACAUUCAAGCUUUCCCAAGCUCGAACAACCCCUUAGAGUGACUCCUUCACUCUAAGCAUACAAGAAGAAGUGGUAAAAGAAAGUACUUAUGAUCACUGGAUGAUCUGAUUAGUACAGGAUUAAGUGCUAAUCACAAAUGCAAAGAGUAGGCGUUGAGGUGCAGACAAGUGCAGUGAAGCUUUUCUGGUUUUUCAAUUUUCUAUAGCUCAAAUCUCAUUCAAAGCUUCAAAAAACUUCUUUCUCAUUGUUGGAAGACCCUUUUAUACUUGGAGAUGCAACUCUGAUGGCAGUUGGGCAAUUUAUGCCUGUUGAAACCAGUUGAAGAUGAGUUCUAGCCGUUAAUCUGUCUUAUAGUGCUCUAGUUCAAGUUGCAGAUAGAAAGCUCUUAGUCGACUAACUUGGUUGACUAAGUUGAUUCUAUUUCUAGUUUGCAGAUUCUGACAGAGGGCACUUAGUCGACUGACUUGGUUGACUAAGUUAGUUCUGUUUCUCAAACUCUUCAACCUGCUAUUUCUCUAAUUUGAAAUUUGGCCAGCUAAUGUUCUUCCUUGUUUAACCAACAAGCUUCCUCCUUGUUAUUCAGUUACAUCUUGUUGAAUUUAUCCUUUUUUUUCUUUCAAAAAUACUUUUUGAAAGGUCAAGAGAUUAAUUUCAUAUAAUAAUUUCCUGCACACUUAAAUAAAGGAAUUAGACACAAAUGAAUGGGAUUGUUUUAUCAUCAUCAAAAACUAAUGGAGCCAACAAUCUCCCCCUUUUUGAUGAUGACAAAACAAUCAUCGAUUAAUAUCAUGGUGUCCUUUUGACUUAUUUUAUUUUCAGUAGAAAAUGGGGAUUGCUCCCUCUAAGUAUAAGCUCCCCCUUAGUGUGUGCAUAAUUUGCUUACUUUAUUCCAACAAGUUUUGUUCAUUGUUACAUGGAGGGAAUGACAAUAUACAUUUAGAUUCUAUAUAUGUGUAUAUGCAUGUUCAUCAAUGUAGAGUGAUUUGCAGUAAAAAAUUUUCAGCUAAAGUUUUGAUAGAUUUUCAUUAAUAUUCCAACUGCUAUUAACAUUCAGAUUUUGUCGACAUUAUUCAUGUUUCAACUUGUAGACAAUACAAACCAUCUAUAUCUAUUUUUAACCAGAAAUUAUCCGUAAUUGUAUAACAAAAAUCAUCUAUCAGCAUGUGAAUCCAUAUCAGCAUAGCAGCAGUAAAUUUUGUUCCUAGUAGUCAAAAUGCUCAAAUAAUAAGAUAUCAACAGAUUUUAAUUUUUAGCAGUUAAGCAACAUAAACAUGUCAGCAUUCAUAUUUCACAUACAUCCACAUAAAUAACAGAGUUAAAGCUAAGUGUUUAAGUGGCACCAAGGCACAAAUAACAGUUAAAUAAAAAGUAUUUCAAAAAUAUCUCUGGACUAGUUAUGCUUCCUAUAUCUUAUUUCUCUAAUUUCAUGCUCCUUUGGUUCUGUUUUCUUUCCUUUCCUAGGUUCUUGGUUCCUUUACCCUAACAUUUUUUUAUGUUUUAAAUAUUUUCUAGUUCCUGGUUUCUGCUCCUCUAGUCCCCGGUGCCAUACUUUUCCCCUUUUUUGUCAGAUCAAAGGAGGGGAAUUCUACUCAUCGGAUGAGGCAAAAAGUGAGGAUUCAGUUCUAUAGAAAGGGUUAAGAGGAAACGGAGAGGGUUCUCGGAGAAGAUAUGACUCUCUAAAAGAGGGUUCUGGAGUAGACUUGUUUGAAAUGUGAACUGGACUGUGAGGAAAAGAGGUUGAAACUAGUUUGGACUUUUCUGCCAAUCUCGAAGACUUUCUUCUUUUGAGAAAAGUUGUCUUGGUUGUCAUAGUCCUCUUUUUUUUGGUUGGUUGUUUUGCCUUAACUGGUGGUGCUGUGGUAGCUUCUGGUUUCCCUGUUUUAGUCUUUGGUUUGGGAGUUGAAGCAGAUUUCUUUCUUUUUCUUACAUUUGCACCAUCCUUCUAAGUUGCUGUCUUGAUAGUGUCUUUUUCAGCUUGUUCCUCUCCAACAAUUUGGUGAAAAAGGUCUAUAAUUGAAACUUCCUCUAAGUUUGGAGAAUAUGCUUGUUGUUUUUCAGUUUCUGCACCAACUACCUUAGUCCUUUGUUCUGAGUCAUUUUUACUUUGAGUUUCAAGGGUUGGUGAUUUGGCUGGCCGAUCAACUCCUUGUGGGGAGUCCUCAGUUUGCAGAGCAGGACUGGAAGACUUGUAGGUAGAGCCUUCAGCUUGAGUACCAGAACUUGCAGACUUCUCUGCUGGCUCUGCUGAAUCUUUAGCACCUUGCUAUGUUGGUGUAGUGCUGGAUGUGGCUGAACUGUCUGCAACCAUAGGUUCAGAUGCCAUUUUUUCUUUCUCCUUUAGCUUGUUUUCCAACUCAGUGAUUUUAUCUUUCAUUUUUUGUAGCUUCACUCCUUGGUCAAUCAGCUUACCAUCGAUCCUCAUAAGCAAAUUAAAAAUCAUCUCAUUCGAAAAUCUGGAAGGAGCUUCUUCAGGUUGAGCAGGCAAACUGUGAUCUUUUCUUGGGCCAGCUUUGGAGGUUUUGAUAAACUUCUCUCCAUCGAGCACAUACCCCAUCUUAAUUAAGCUGCCAAAAUAAAUGGCUUGGUCUCUGGUUUUCACCAGGUCCAUAUCAUACCUUUUAGCCCAUAUUCCUUUCUUCUGCACCAGGGAUGUAAUCACAUUCCCAUAUGGCAGAUUGACCUUAUCAAGUCUGUAGGCACUUCUCAUUUUCUUAAUCAUGAAUCUCCCCAGAUUUAGAGACACUCCAUUAAAAGCAUGCUCCAUCAGCUAAAGAUCCUGCAGGUUGAUGUAGCUAAAACUUCCGCUCCUCCCUUCAAUAUUUGUAGCAAUAAAGUAAUGUAGUAUCCUAAUCUAUGCAUUGAUUAUCAGUCCUGAAUUACUUUUAGAGGAGUAUUUUUCUUUUCUUCCAGUGAUGAUCUCCUACAGUGAGAACGGAUCAUAUUUUUCUGAAAGUUCAAAUUCACCUAUUUCACCCUCUAUUUUCAGCAGAUUCCUUAAGUCUUUAGCAGUUACAAUAAACUCUUAUCCAUUUAAAUAGACAUUCAGCUCAUCUUGUACAUAGUCAUCAGAUUCUGUUAAUUCCUUUUCUUUUAGAGCAAUGCCAGAGUAAAAUUCCUUAACCAUAAUUGGACUAUAUUAGCUAUUCUUAAAGGUGCUGUAACCUUUAAGUUUAAGUUCAUUAAAGUACUCACAUAGACUAGUCUAGAUUUCUACAUUUUCUUUGAAACUCUUUUAGUCAAUGAACCUUUCGUAGGAGAUAGGUGCAUUUUCUAUAUUCUUGAAUCGAUACUCAUACAGCUUAUUUCUAAAUUUCGAAGAAGAAGAGGAGCUGAUAUUUUUCUGGAGUGAGGGUUCUGUAUCUUUUUUCUUGUGCAUUUUCUGCUUGUUUUACCUCAGCUUCUUGGCUAUUUCCUUCACUGAGGUAGGCACAAUUUUCUGUUUCUUUUUCUGACUUUCUGUUCUAGUUUCUUUUUCCAUUGUCAUUUUUCCUUUCUUCUUCUCUAAUACUUCUUUACUUUGAGAAGUUCUGGCCAUUUUGGUUUUGGAAAUUUUUGAAGGUCUGAGUUAGUUUUAGAGGCAACUAUGAAGAUUUAGGUUUUGGUUUUCAGAACAAUGGGUUACAAAGGAAAGGGAAAAAGAGGUUGGCAGCAGUUAUUACUCAGAAAACUUCUCAUCUUCCUUUAAGAAUCGCCCUACUUGUAUUUCUUUAUAUUUUCAAAUCUCGCUCUAAAAUUUUGAUUAUUUACCUUUGGCAACUCUGCUCUUUUCCUCUUUACACCCGGUAAAUCAAAUUUUUACAACAAUUUACUUUUUUUUCAUGAAACUCACUAAGUCUUAUUAUUUAAGGAUGUUAGGCCACUCUUAGUUGACUAAGAAUUCCUUAGUCAACUGAAUGCAUUUUGUUUUCAAUGUUAGAGUCAAAGAUUUUCUUAUAAUUCCUUCACAUUAACCAUCCCCAAAUUUCUUCUAAUCUCACAAAAUCUAUCUUCACUCAGUGGUUUGGUAAAAAUGUCUGCUAAUUGGUGUAGAGUAUUCACAAAGUCUAUUUUAAUGUUAUUUUUCACUACAUGGUCUCUAAUGAAAUGGUGUCUAAUUUCAAUGUGCUUUGUCCUAGAAUGUUGCACAGGAUUUUUUGAUAUAUUGAUUGCACUUGUGUUAUCACAGUAUACUGGUACAUUAUGCAUAAUUAUUCCAUAGUCUUUUAAUUGUUGCUUGAUCCAAAGGAUUUGUGCACAGCAACUACCUAAUGAAACAUAUUCAGCCUCUGCUAUAGAUAGUGCUAUUGAGUUUUGCUUCUUGUUGGACCAAGACACAAGCAUACUUCCUAAAAAUUGGCACGUUCCACUAGUGCUUUUCCUAUCAGUUCUGCUACCAGCAAAGUCAGCAUCUGAAUAUCCAACUAAGUUAAGAGUUGAGUUUCUAGAGUACCAUAUUCCUAGUUCUUGAGUGUCUAUGAGGUAUCUAAAAAUUCUCUUAACAGUUGUUAGGUGUGAUUCCUUAGGCUGUGAUUGAAAUUUAGCACAUAAGCACACACAAAACUAAUGUUUGGUCUACUUGUUGUUAAGUAAAGAAAAGAGACGAUCAUACCUCUAUAGAGCUUUUGAUCUACAUCUUUACCUUUUUCAUCUAAAUUGAGUUUGGUGGAUAGACUUAUUGGUGUGGAAGUUGAUUUCAGUUUCAGCACAUCAAAUUUCUUGAGCAUAUCAUGAGUAUAUCUUUCUUGAUUGAUGAAGAUCCCUUCCUCACUUUGCUUAAUUUGAAGACCAAGGAAGUACUUCAACUCUCUCAUCAUGCUCAUCUCAAAUUCACCCUGCAUUUCCUUUGCAAAGUUCUUGCAUAAAGCUUCAUUAGUUGCACUAAAUAUAAUGUCAUCCACAUAUAUUUGUACAAUAAUUAAAUCAUUUAAAUAUCUCUUAAUGAACAAUGUAGUAUCAAUGCUGCCUCUAUUAUAUCCAUUUUCAACUAGAAAUUUUGAAAGCCUCUCAUACCAAGCUCUAAGAGCUUGUUUCAAUCCAUACAAUGCUUUGUGAAGUUUAAAAACACGAUUAGACUUUUCAAAAUCUUCAAAACCAAGUGGUUGUUCUAUAAAAACUUCUUCUUGAAUUAGUCCAUUUAAGAAUGCACUUUUUACAUCCAUUUGGGACAACUUAAAAUUCAUGAAGCAUGCACAAGCUAGCAGCAAUCUUAUGGCUUCAAUCCUAGCUACGGGAGCAAAGGUUUCAUCAUAAUUUAUUCCUUCUUCUUGGUUGUAUCCUUUUGCUACCAGCCUAGCUUUGUUCCUAACUACAUUUCCUUACUCAUCUACUUUAUUUCUAAAUACCCAUUUAAUACCAACAAUCGGAUGAUUUGAAAGUCUAGGCAUCAAUGACCAUACUUGAUUCCUAGUGAAUUGAUCAAGUUCUUCUUACAUGGCCAUUAUCCAACUUUCCUCCUUUUCAGCUUCUUCAAAGUUUUUAGGUUCAAUUUAAGAUAUAAAGGCUGAAAACUCACAAGUUUCUCUAGUUGCUUUCCUAGUUCUAACUCCUUAUGAAAUGUCACCUAUUAUUUAGUCUUGUGGGUGAUCUCUUACAAAUCUUUAACUCCUAGAAAAUCAUCAUGCUGAUUUUCUGCUCUUUGCAGAUUUUCUAGAAUUGGAGUUUCAUUUUCUCUUCUAGAUGAGCUUUCCUCAUUAUUUUUAUUGUUCUCUAAGCUCAUUUCCUCCAUUUGUUUUUUUAGAAUUUCUAUAUCAUCAUCAUCAUCAUGAACUUCUUUUUGUAAAGUGUUUGACUCAUCAAAAACUACACGGACUGAUUCUUCAACGGUUAGAGUCCUUUUGUUAAAAACUCUAUAGGCCUUUGAGUUUAAUGCAUAUCCUAAAAAUAUUGCUUCAUCACUCUUUGCAUCAAACUUCUUUAGGGGUUGUUUUCUAUUGCUCAAUACAAAACAUUUACAGCCAAAACUCCUAAGGUGAUAAACAUUUGGUUUCCUACCUUUUAAAGUUCAUAUGAAGUCUUUGAAAUCAAGGGUCUUAUUGAGACUCUAUUAAGAAUAUAGGCUGUUGUAUUUACUACCUCAGCCCAAAGAUAUUUAGGUAGGUUGUUCUCACAUAACAUAGUCUUAGCCAUUUCUUUUAAUGUUCUAUUUUUCCUCUCUACAACUCCAUUUUGCUGGGGUGUUCUAGGUGCAGAAAAAUUGUGAUCCAACCCCUUUUCAUUACAAAGUUUUUCAAACUCAUCAUUCUCAAAUUCUCCUCUAUGGUCACUCCUUAUGUUGACUAUGGCUAGUCCUUUUUCAUUUUCUACUUUCUUACAAUAACUUAAGAAUGCUUGUAGAGCAUCAUUCUUAUGAGCAAAGAAGUAUACCCAAGUAUAUCUAGAAUAGUCAUCAACUAUUACAAAGCCAUAAGAUUUACCUCAUAAGCUAGUUGUGCUUAUUGGACCAAAUAGAUCAAUGUGCAACAAUUCAAGAGGUCUUGAUGUUGACAUUAUUUUCUUAGUCUUAAAGGAUGUUCUAACUUGUUUCCUUAGUUGGCAAGCAUCACAUAUCCUAUCUUUUUCAAAUUUCAAUUCUGGUAGUCCAGUAACAAGAUUUUUCUUUACUAAUUUAGACAUUGUAUGCAUGCUCACAUGUCCUAAUCUCCUAUGCCAUAACCAGUUAUCAUUUUCAGCAUUUACAACAAAACAAACUUCACUAUUCACAUCAAGGUCUUCAAGAAAAAUUACAUACAUAUUCUUCAACCUUUUUCCUACAAAUGAGAUUUUAUUUGUACUCAUAUCAAUCACUUCACAUUUAGUUGAAUCAAAGCAUACUUUAAAUCCUUUAUCACAUAAUUGGCUAACACUUAGAAGAUUAUGCUUUAAGCCUUUAACUAGCAACACAUGACUAAUAUGAGUUUGAAGACUCUUACGAACCUGCCUAUACCAUGGAUUUUUCCUUUUGAAUCAUCUCCAAAGGAUACGGUUCCUCCUUUUCUCUUUUUCAACUGAGUAAACAGCUAGUCAUGUCCUGUGAUGUGCCGUGACAGCCACUAUCCAAGUACCAAGGCUGUUUCUUCCCAAGUUGAGCUCUUGAACAUGUCUCUUUUAAGUUCAGCUCAACCUACAAAAUAGAAUUUCGGUUUUUCUUUAUAGGUACCCAUACUUUGAUGGGUCCUUGAGUGUUAGUUGCAGCAAAAGAUCCCUUAGGAACCCAAAUUUUCUUAACUUUCUGCAUUUUCUUUUUCUUAAAACAGUCAUAUAACAAAUGACCAUGUUUACCACAAUUAUAACAUGUAGAUAAUGCUUUAGUUGAAUAUUUAUUGUGGUAUGCAUCUCUUUUUAAAUAUUCAUUUUUCAAACAUUUAAGAGUUGUGUUUUCAUCAAGAGUUAUUUGCAAGGUUUCAGACGUAUUUUCCAGCUUUUGUUUUAAAGACUCAGAGUCUGUUUUUGAGUGUUCUAACUCAGCUUGGAAAAUAUUUCUUUGCUAAAAAACAGAGGUGAAUUCUUGUUUGAUUUGUUCCAAAUCAUUUUCAAGUAAUGCAACCUUUUUCUUCAAUGAUUUGUAUUUUGAAAAAAGUUUUUCAAAUUCAUCAUAAAAGCAUUCAUAUUCAUCCUUUAAAUCAUCAUAAGAAUUAAUGCAGGGGGAUGAGGGUACUUUUGUUUCAUCCUCCUGUGCCAUUAGACAGAUGUUUGCUUUUUCCUCAUAUUUUUCAUCAUCAGUUUCAGAGCUUAAUGUGUCACUGUCCGACCAUGCAGCAGCCACCAUUACUUUCUUGGAUCUCUUAUUUUUUUGGGGGUUUCAUCUUUCAGCGAUGGACACUCAGACUUGAAGUGACCAAGUUUCUUGUAUUCGUAGCAGAUCAUCUCCUCCUUUUUGUUGGAGUCAUUUUUGUUCUUAAUUUUCCAUGAAGCAAACUGGUCUUUCUUGAAACCUCUUCUAGUUAGCCUUCAAUUUCUUCUGCUCAUUAGUUUUCUGAAUUUUCUUGCAACUAGAGCUAAAUCUUCAUCAUUGUCACAAGAAAGCUCUUCUAGCUCUUCUUCAAGAAUGCUGGCUUUAAGUGCAAUGCUCUUUUUCUUUUCCUUUGCUUCCCUUUGGUUUUCUUCUUUUUCUUCCUUGAGCUCUAGCUCAUGAGUGAGAAGAGAGCCACAUAUCUCAUCGAGAGUGAUGAUGUUAAGGUCUUUAGCUUCUCUAAUGGCAGUGACUUUUGGUUUUUAGGAUUUUGGUAGGCAUCUAAGUAGUCUCUUAACUAAUUCAUGUUCAGGGAUAGGCUUGCCUAGUUAACUUAACUUAUUUGUGAUAUUUGUAAACCUAUCAAACAUGCUGGUGAUGUCUUCACUAGGCUCCAUUUUGAACAUUUCAUAGCUAUGUGUUAAGAGAGUAAUUUUGGACUCCUUUACUUGAGAAGUCCCUUCAUGGAUUAUUCUAAGUUUUUCCCACACUUGUUUAGCUGUUGUAUAGCUUGAGACUUUGUUAAAUUUAGUGGGGGUCAAGGCACAAUGUAAUAUGUUGAUGCCCUGAAAGUUUACUUGAACCUUCUUAGUUUCAGCCUCAGUCCAUUCUGACCUUGGCUUAGGCAUCAACUCAUUUGUGACUACAUUUAUGGUUGAGGGCAUAAAGGGUCCAUCAGUUAUGAUGUCCCACAUUUCAAAAUCUAUAGCUCUAAUAUAGAUUGACAUUCUAAUACUUCAAUAGGGAUAAUUAGAGCCAUCAAACAGAGGUGGUCUGUUUGUUGAUUGUCCCUCAGUAACUAUGGUUUUUUGUUGAGCCAUUUGGAUCCUCCCAAAGGAUGUUAAGCCUUAAAAACAGGGAACUAGCUCUGAUACCAAUUGUUGUCCCGUUAAUAUGUGCUAGAGGGGGGUGAAUAACACAAUUUGGCUCUUGAUUAGAUGAGGAACUAAUUUCCAAAACAAAAAAAGUAAAAACAGAGUAGACAAUGGACAACAAUUUAUAGUGGUUCGGUCCAAGACCUACAUCCACUGUCUUGAUUAUCCAACCAAGGAUUUUCCUAACAAUUCACUAAGAAUCUGGUGAAAUUCACAAGCUUCCACCAAGCUUUUACAAUGGCUUUUCGCAAGCUCAGCCACAACCUUUACACUAGUUUUUCUUGGGCUAAACUAAAACCCAAAGUGGUUUUCCAAGGCUCAACCAUAACCUAUAACAUUCAAGCUUUCCCAAGCUCGAACAACCCUUUAGAGUGACUCCCUCACUCUAAGCAUACAAGAAGAAGUGGUAAAAGAAAGUACCUAUGAUCACUGGAUGAUCUGAUUGGUAUAGGAUUGAGUGUUAAUAAAAAAUGCAAGGAGUAGGCGUUGAGGCACAAACAAGUGCAGUGAAGCUUUUCUGGUUUUUCAAUUUUUUAUAGCUCAAAUCUCAUUCAAAGCUUCAAAAAACUUCUUUCUCAUUGUUGGAAGACCCUUUUAUACUUGGAGAUGCAACUCUGAUGGCAGUUGGGCAGUUUAUGACCGUUGAAAAUAGUUUAAGAUGAGUUUUAGCCGUUAAUCUGUCUUGUAGUGCUCUAGUUCAAGUUGCAGAUAGAAAGCUCUUAGUCGACUAACUUGGUUGACUAAGUUGAUUCUGUUUCUGGUUUGCAGAUUCUGGCAGAAGGCACUUAGUCAACUAACUUGGUUGACUAAGUUAGUUCUGUUUCUCAAACUCUUCAGCCUGCCAUUUCUCCAAUUUGAAAUUUGGUCAACCAAUGUUCUUCCUUGUUUAACCAACAAGCUUCCUCUUUGUUAUUUAGUUACAUCUUAUUGAAUUUAUCCUUCUUUUUCUUUCAAAAAUAUUUUUGGAAAGGUCAAGAGAUUAAUUUCAUAUAAUAAUUUCUUGCACACUUAAAUAAAGGAAUUAGACACAAAUGAGUGAGAUUAUUUUAUUAUCAUCAAAAACUAAUGGAGCCAACAUUUUUCUUUCUCUUUUUCUUCCUCUCAGGUGGAGCUUCUGGAAGGCACUUUCUUCUUUCUUUUCCUCUCUCAAUGGCUGGCUCUCUCUCAAGUUUCACCAAGGCCAAUUCACAUUUCUUUUACUCCUUGAAACUUGGUAUUUAUAUGGCCACCCAUUAACUAAUCAAAUUGCAUGCACACCUAUGCUUUUUAUUUUCAUUUGGCCAUUUUGCCAACCAAUAGGUUUUCAUGCACCAAUUUCCUAUCUCUCACAUUGGCUAGAAAUCCUCCUUUACUAUCCAUAUCAAUUGUUUAAUUUAUUUUCACUUAAUUCCCAUCUUAUUGGUGUCCAAUGGUCUUUCAUGCAACUUUCCCACCUUAAUUUCCAUUUGGCCUCCUCCUUGGCCAAUGUCAUUGCAUGCAACUAUAUUUUCUCUUCUUUUAGUCUAAUUGUCACCAAGUGUCCAUCAUGCAUAAAUCUUCCAUGCAUUCUUUUAACUUAAAAAUCCACAUGCAUGUGUUAUCUUAUUCAUUUUAUUUAUUCCUUUUUGUUUGUCACAUGGUGGGUUUCCCACAUGUUCCCCACUACAAGUACAUCCUUGCAUGCAUAUCUUUGCAUGUAAUAGUAUUUGUUACAUGCAUAUUCCAUCCUCCCACAUAAUCUAAUUUUCCUUGGCUAGUUAAUUGCCAUUUAACUUCAAAUGUUGAAAUUACACAUAAGUCCUCAAACUUUUCCUUAUUUACCAUUCGACCCUCUAAACUUUUCAUCCUUUACAACUAAAAUAUCAAACCUUUCUUUUAAUUCCAAUUUCCUUCAAUUUUCCUUCCUUUACACUUGUACAAAAAAAAUAUCAAAUUGACACUUCAUCAAGAUGUCACCAUAAUAUUUAAAUAUAUACUUACUCGCUCUUGUUUUAUUUAAUAAAGGCACGUAAGCCCCACUAAUGUCGAUUUUCUUCAAAAUUCUUUCUUACUUCUUCUUCCCCACUUAGAUUAGCCAUAUAGUCCUCCUUCAUGACUAAUUUCAACAACAGAUAAAAUAUUAAUAUUUUAAUAUUCUUUUAUUUCAAAAUUUUCCACUUGUCUCCUCGGGCCCCAAAGUGUCUCACUUUGUCUUGGUUCACUUCCAAAUCGCCUUAUUAACUCGCUAAUUCAUCCUCUAUAAAAUAUUAUUAUUUAAUUAUUAUUUUUCUAACGUGUUGUCACGACCCAAUUUUUUGGGCCAUGAUCGGCGCAUGAGCUCAAUGAGCAUAGCUCACUAAGCCCAAUCAAGCCUAUCCAUUUACCUUUGCUUAACAAAUUUAUCAUAUCAUGCAUAUACACACACCUUUUCUCGAGUGUGAACAUAGCUAAAACACAAUGGCAUUAUCGAUAAUAAUAUACAUGCACUAUACCAGUCAUGUAUUUAGCAAUUUACAUUGCAUACACAUAUUCACAUUGUUAGAUUGUAUUCACAAUACAAAAGGACCCAUGACUUCUAGCGGAGACAUUUACAAUAAAAGGGAUUACUAUCGAAUGCCAGACACAUAUCCAGGAGAUGCACACUGGGACUCCUCGAUCUAGGGUCCAACAGUCACCUGAUCUAAAAACACGAAUUUUUAUAAAACGUGAGUACAAUACUCAGUGAGUGAAUAUUAGAAGGGAACAAGCAAUCUCAACCAGGAAAUUUGACAAUCAUGAUGCACUGGUUGAAAAUAAAGCCAUUUUCAUCUAACUACUAUUCCAAACCCUUUUUCCCUUACCUAGAAAUUUAUUACGCAUUCAAGGAUUAAACAUCCUUGAAUUUACACCGAUUCUUCUAGCAAAGUAGUAAAACUGACGGUUAUUUACAAAUCUUCACACAAUAAGGGUUUCCCAACCCGUACGAUUCAUAUAUGCAUAUGUAUCACGUACAAUUUCAUUCACCAAUUGUUCUAUCAAGUAAGAUAGCAAAAUUAACGGUUUAUCACAAACCAUCACAAACAAGGGUUUCACAUACCACACAAUCAAACAUACAUACACAAAGAUAUGAGCAAUUAUAUACACCGCCAAGUCUUCACUAUUCUUGGUGGUACAAAGAAAUAACUAUCGGAGUACUCGGUAAGGGGUAUCACUCAGUAUCCCUCUUUGCACACCUCUGAAUUUCUAGGAAAUUGUGGGCGUUACGUAUCGCCGUCCCCAUAACCUUUAUCAUUAAACCGGCAUUGCACUUCCCACUCCGCACAUGCACGAUCGUAAUUAUCACAUCCUUUGUCAUUCAACCGGCAUUGCACUUCCCACUCCGCACAUGCACUGUUGCAUCAAUUUCACCAUAAUUUAUUAAUAAGGCUUAUCAGCAUAAUACAAGGGUACACAGAUUCAGUACACUUAAUUUCACACAAUUUCUCAAUAAUACAUGUAGGCAUCAUACAGAUAUACACAGAUGCAUCGCAAUCAUAUUUAACAUCACAGAAAUAUUUUCACUAAAGGCUUGUUCCCGAGAUUCAUUUUUAAAUGGGAAUUAGAUAUAAUCAUUCACGCAUUUCAUUUCAACUUAAUUAGAAUUCCCAAAUAAAUUUUGAAAUGCAAAUUCACUCACAGGUGUCGAAAAUCUGGAUUCCAGGUGCACUCGGACUAAUAGUCCUCAGGCGCAAUUCCUUUGCCUUUUCCGAACGUCUCACUACCUUGACAAAUAACAAAGUCGAGGAAUUUACUAUAUUGUCCCUAAAUUGAUAUAAACUAAUUUAAAUUACUAAUGCUUGAUAUGUAAAUGCAAAAAUACGUCCGAUUACCGCUUAAUCACGGUAUCGAUUAAAUUCGACCGAUCACCCGAUUAAUCGGCGAUUGUGUCCAAAUCACCUCCAAAUUAAUUCAUUUCUCCUCUAAUACCUUAAUUUACCACAUACAUUUUAAAAAAGCCAAAUUCAGCAUUAGAACCCUCACAAUUCCUUAUAGAAAAAUUCGGUCAUUUGGUGCACUAGCAUCGAAUUUUUUUCUACAUAACCGUUUCACCUUACUUCAUCAUUUUCCAUGCCAUUUUCCUUGAAAUAAAAACAAUCCCCCAUUGAUAUUCAGCCCUCAUGGUUCGACCAACAAGGAACCCUAGAGAAAUUGAAUAUUUCUUUUGUGUUUUUGUUCAUAACCAUGCUUAACUAUCCCUAAACACUAACAUAGUCUAAAAUCAAAUUAUUCCAACAACAAUUCCUCUUCCAUACCCAUUUUUCAGAAUUGAAUUCAUCAUGAUAACUCAAUAUUCAACCAUGGAAAUCAAGAACAAAAGCAUGGGUAAGCUAGGUAUCAAGGAGAAUUAAAGAAAUUCUAACUUACCUAGCUUGUUUCCUUGAUUUCUUCACUUUUUCUUUGAAUUUUCACCUAGGUUUUCUUAUUUUUCCCUUUGUUCUUCCUUUGUUCUUGUUGCUGGUUGCCUAGGCAGAAUAUGGUGAGAGAAUUGGGGAUUUA